CCUACGGGGGACAGCAGUGGGGAAUAUUGCACAAUGGGGGAAACCCUGAUGCAGCGACGCCGCGUGAGUGAAGAAGUACUUCGUUAUGUAAAGCUCUAUCAGCAGGGAAGAAAAUGACGGUACCUGAGUAAGAAGCCCCGGCUAACUACGUGCCAGCAGCCGCGGUAAGACGUAGGGGGCAAGCGUUCUCCGGAUUUACUGGGUGUAAAGGGAGUGUAGACGGCAGUGCAAGUCUGGAGUGAAAGGCGGGGGCUCAACCCCCGGACUGCUCUGGAAACUGGACGGCUGGAGUGCAGGAGAGGUAAGUGGAAUUCCUAGUGUAGCGGUGAAAUGCGUAGAUAUUAGGAGGAACACCAGUGGCGAAGGCGGCUUACUGGACUGUAACUGACGUUGAGGCUCGAAAGCGUGGGGAGCAAACAGGAUUAGAUACCCCUGUAGUC
rnacentral:rRNA from 1 species